rnacentral:RNase_P_RNA from 1 species
UGAGUAAACGAGGCAGCCGCGGAAACAGAGAAAAAUGUUUCCGAGGAAAGUCCGAGCUCCGCAGGGCAGGGUGCUGGGUAACACCCAGUGGGGGCGACCCUAAGGCUAGUGCCACAGAAACGAUACCGCCCGGCCUUGCCGGGCAAGGGUGCAACGGUGCGGUAAGAGCGCACCAGCGGCCGGGAGACCGGUCGGCUAGGUAAACCCCACCCGGAGCAAGACCAAAUAGGAGGGGGAUGAAGUUGCCCGCGGAUCCCCUCGGGUUGGUCGCUGGAGGCGGCAGGCAACUGCCGUCCUAGAUAGAUGGCUGCCGCUCUCCCCAGGGAGAGAACAGAACUCGGCUUAUCAGUUUGCUCAAGCC